AGUAGAAUGGCUGAGAUUAGGUGUAAGAUUGUAAAUCUUUUUAGGAGUUUAAACUCUUCUACUA
rnacentral:tRNA from 1 species